rnacentral:rRNA from 1 species
GUUCCUGGCUCAGGAUGAACGCUGGCGGCGUGCUUAACACAUGCAAGUCGAACGGAACUCCUAUGAACGAGGUUUCGGCCAAGUGAAUAGGAUGUUUAGUGGCGGACGGGUGAGUAACGCGUGAGUAACCUGCCUUGGAGUGGGGAAUAACACAGUGAAAAUUGUGCUAAUACCGCAUAAUGCAUUUAGGUCGCAUGACUUUGAAUGCCAAAGAUUUAUCGCUCUGAGAUGGACUCGCG